UUGGCCGGCGAGCGCUGGCACCAACCAGAGGAUGCAUUGGCGCAUAGAGAAGUGCCAGUUCAUGCCGAGGAGCGAUGAUUGUCAAUGGAGAUUACAUGUGGCUGCGGAAGCAUAAAAAGCAUGGUGAUAAGAAAGGAUUGAUCAGGUUUGUAUUGUCUGACGCAUUUGUGCAAGAACCAAGUAAUUGCUACAGUACCAGUUAGGUUGCUCUGGGAGGACUUCUUUCUGCCAUAAGGAUUAAAGCACCUUGAUUGAUUCAUGGAGGACGCACCAAACAAGGAUUAUUUACUACUGGAUCUACCGGCCAGAAAAACAGAGCACACGCCCAUGAUUGCCCAAGUCCAGAAGGGACAAGGCCACUAUGUAAUAUAUAUCCCAGUUAGCUCCAACACUUAAUUUCCUGUGCCUCCUGAUGAUAUUUACUAACUAGACUUAGGAAUGUGAGAAACGUCAUUUUGUAAUAUGCCUUGCUGGAACAAGAUUGAAUUGCUGGACCA